AGUGAACGCUGGCGGUAGGCCUAACACAUGCAAGUCGAACGGCAGCACAGUAAGAGCUUGCUCUUACGGGUGGCGAGUGGCGGACGGGUGAGGAAUACAUCGGAAUCUACUUUUUCGUGGGGGAUAACGUAGGGAAACUUACGCUAAUACCGCAUACGACCUACGGGUGAAAGCAGGGGAUCUUCGGACCUUGCGCGAUUGAAUGAGCCGAUGUCGGAUUAGCUAGUUGGCGGGGUAAAGGCCCACCAAGGCAACGAUCCGUAGCUGGUCUGAGAGGAUGAUCAGCCACACUGGAACUGAGACACGGUCCAGACUCCUACGGGAGGCAGCAGUGGGGAAUAUUGGACAAUGGGCGAAAGCCUGAUCCAGCCAUACCGCGUGGGUGAAGAAGGCCUUCGGGUUGUAAAGCCCUUUUGUUGGGAAAGAAAAGCAGCAGGUUAAUACCCCGCUGUUCUGACGGUACCUAAAGAAUAAGCACCGGCUAACUUCGUG
rnacentral:rRNA from 1 species